AAGAAAUUGGAAACAAUCUAAAACAUAAUGUAAUUAAGGACAUAAAAAGACCAUUCAUAAAACAAGGAUCUACACGUAUCAUUAACAUAUUUAGGGAACACAUUUGAGUGUUCUAUGACAAAAACAAAUCACAUUAUACCGUGUUUCUGGAAUAAACUUUCCCAUGGGUCAGGGACCAUCGACACCAAUAUCAAAACUAUUAUAUGAAGAUACUACAGACAUUGCGCACGUUAUUGGCGCCUGUCUGAAAAAAAAAAUGACUGAUAGCGGGUUGUUCCAAUUCUUUGUCAAGAUCUUUUUCUACACAAUAAAUAUCUAUGUUCUACAUAUCAUUCGAAAGCAUAUUAACCAAAGAAAUCAAUAAAAUAUAGGUAAGUUUGUGCUCUGCAUAUCAUUUAUAGAAAACACUUAGUUCAUUCGAUUGCCUUUAACGACAUUUUAAGGGUAUCCCCCUGUAACACAUUGUUAUGGUGGACGAGGUUAGUAUGUUAAAUAUAAUAAUAAAAUUUCCUUCGAUAUUAUAAGAUAUAAGAUAUCAUGUAAGUGAUUCUCUAUGAUCAUACCAGAAAAAAUCACACAUUUCCCAAAGAAGCUAUCUGAAGUCAUUACUAUCUAAUUGCGGUCUUACUUUCAAAACAUUGUUAGUUUUCUUGUGUUCAAUAAAAUGUCCCGACUGACAAAAGGAUGCAUUUACAAAUUCAAAGACUGUUGAAUGAAAUUCCACCUUAUUUCAAAUUUUUAACACUUUUUAACUGACUUUAAGAGACAAUGCAUUAAAUUCCUAUAAAAUUAAAAGAGAUUUAUUUUAGCCUUAGCUGCAUGUAGAAAAUACGAAACGAUUUAAUAUGUCUAAUGAAAUGUCCCCGUUACUAUAUUUUGACGUCCACGUCGUGAUAACGCUAAAAGCACAUGACUUUUCUUGCAUAUUUUUGAGAAAAUUCAUUGCAUGAAAUUGUCUGAUAUAUAUUAGGUUAAGUUCUUGCUUGAUUAGCAGUUAAGUAAAUCUGAUUGUAUAAAUAAUUUUAGAUAACGACAUAUUUAACUGUGAUACUUGAUAAAGGCAGAGCCAUAACAAUGAGAGAAGCUCUAUGAUCUAAGUUUCCUGCACUUUUAGAAAAGGAACAUAUAGUGAAAAAUGAGACUGCGAUCCAAAAAUUUUUAUUUACUCUGGGCACUGCACAAGAUCGUCGUGCCACCAAUUUACGUUUCCUCUUGGUGUUGUAAACAAUUUCCUACAAAGUACGACUACCGAUGUUAGCGUGUGGGACGGUAUAAUAUCUAUAUCAGCAGGUUAAGUAUUUUGAGAUUGUUAUCAGUGACACCAAACAUUCUGUGAUAUCAUAUUAUCUAUUUGUUGUAUAGUUUACAUCUGUGUUUCUAUGAUAUGUUUUAUACCAGA